GUGAGGAAUAUUGCGCAAUGGAGGCAACUCUGACGCAGCCAUGCCGCGUGCAGGAAGAAGGCGCUACGCGUUGUAAACUGCUUUUAACCGGGAAGAAACCCCAGGACGUGUCCUGGGUUGACGGUACCGGAGGAAUAAGCACCGGCUAACUUCGUGCCAGCAGCCGCGGUAAUACGAAGGGUGCAAGCGUUAUCCGGAUUCAUUGGGGUUAAAGGGUGCGUAGGCGGAGCGUUAAGUCAGUGGUGAAAUCCUGCAGCUUAACUGUAGACUUGCCAUAGAUACUGGCGCUGUUGAGUGCACUUGAAGUGGGCGGAAUGUGCCGUGUAGCGGUGAAAUGCUUAGAUAUGGCACAGAACACCAAUUGCUAAGGCAGCUCACUAAGGCGAUACUGACGCUGAGGCACGAAAGCGUGGGGAUCGAACAGGAUUAGAUACCCCUGUAGUCC
rnacentral:rRNA from 1 species